AUAAACCGCUGCUGGAGCUGGCUGCAAGGU
rnacentral:sRNA from 1 species